UACGAAGGGGGCUAGCGUUGUUCGGAAUCACUGGGCGUAAAGCGCACGUAGGCGGAUGUGCCAGUCAGGGGUGAAAUCCUGGAGCUCAACUCCAGAACUGCCUUUGAUACUGGCGAUCUUGAGUCCGGGAGAGGUGAGUGGAACUGCGAGUGUAGAGGUGAAAUUCGUAGAUAUUCGCAAGAACACCAGUGGCGAAGGCGGCUCACUGGCCCGGUACUGACGCUGAGGUGCGAAAGCGUGGGGAGCGAACAGG
rnacentral:rRNA from 1 species